CGUAGGUAACCUGCCCCGGAGCGGGGGAUUACAUUUGGAAACAGAUGCUAAUACCGCAUAACAAUAAAAGCCGCAUGGCUUUUAUUUGAAAGAUGGCUUUGGCUAUCACUCUGGGAUGGACCUGCGGUGCAUUAGCUAGUUGGUAAGGUAACGGCUUACCAAGGCGAUGAUGCAUAGCCGAGUUGAGAGACUGAUCGGCCACAAUGGAACUGAGACACGGUCCAUACUCCUACGGGAGGCAGCAG
rnacentral:rRNA from 1 species